CUCUCCAUAUACCUUCUUGCCAAUGGUUCAUUUGGCAUAUAGACAGUUUGAUACUGAACAUGCAUAUAAGGCUACUCAGUGAGUUGCGUGCCACAAGCUUCGCCUUCUUUCUGCAGUGAGUGGCGGUGGGCUGCAGUCUCCUUCUCUUUCCAGUUCAUCCUCUUUAUUUUCUUCAUAGACCACCUACAAAAACCCAGCAGGGGACACCCUUAAUUCAUCUAGGCAUUGCAAAUUCAUGCAAAUGUUACAAAGCGCACAUAAGGUCAGUAACAUCCGUGGCACAGCAAUGAGCUCCUCUACAUGGCUUAGCACUAAUUUGGCAAGACGCCAAGGAUUCUUGCUGGAGAGAAGCUACAUCCCGUUUAAACUACAGAAGGCAAGUUAAUGUGCCUUCUUUAGAAGAGUAAUGUAUCGAUUGUCUGGUGAGCCC